UGUUAUUUGAAAAUUGUGAUGAAAUUUACCAUCGGUUUAGAAGUUUCGCAGUUUGAAAACUUUGUUUCUGAACAUCUUGUUUAUGAAGAGAAGAUACAUAAGUGUUAUUUUAUACUCGAUUCUGUUGAAGGGUUUUUAUCAUUGUUAUGUCAAUUUAUUCGACACUUAGGAUGCAAGUAUUGUGACCAUUAUUGAUCGUAUACUUGAAUUUAUCCGAUGGUAAUAGCACUUACGGCAAUAAAAUCAGGGAAGUUGCUACAUUGGGAGCAGACAUGAAAAUAUGGCGAUCUUAGUCAAGGAAGAAGCCUUGCAUGCCCGAGUCCCUUAAUAUGGUAGCGACUGAAUAUUCUAUGAUUCUUCCAUACAUUUUCUGGUUGUGCUGGCCUUAGUCUUUCCGAAAAGAAAUGUUGUAUUAUGCUAGGCUCUGGAUGAAGCCAGUUCGUACUCGGUUUCCACCUUUGCUAAAUGUCCUGUUUCAAAUUCUUCCUUUUCCGUGGUCUCUUGCAAGGAAUCAAGGAAAUUCCUCAGAAAAAAAAAAGUCACGAGGACAAGAGGACAGUUUAGCUGCUAAUGCAGGGCCCCUCGGAUGGAGGAGAAGUCUAUCUGCGGAAGAGGACUUGGAGUUCGAGGGACAGCUCCGAGCCAUCAGUAAACCUGCAGUAAAGAGCUUCAAGGCGAGAUAAUAUUACAAUCAUAGAUUGCAUCGAUAUCUACAAACAACUAGCCUUCGAUCAUCCUCUGCUAAAGAAUCACACCAUUCAGAUGGAACCGGAAAUGAUUCCGGAGAGGUAAACAGAGGAAACUCAAACACAAAAAUUUUGCCUGUGCCCACAAGGGACAGGGCUGAUUGUGAGAGCUACAAAGGAAGAUCUACUGCUCUCAAAGAAUUUAGCACGCAAUAGACCAACACAAUUGAGGAAUAUUUUCAUCCAAGAUGGAUGGUGUCAAUGCCACCUGACUAACGUUUGCGAUGCAGACAUACAACGGCAGAAAUUAUGGAACAAAGGCACUUAUUAACAAUUGGGGUCCAGUUGUCUCACCAGAUCAAUUGAGCCUCGCAAGCAUUUUGAUAGUGAAUGGGCUCGACCUUCUACCAGACAACAUACAAGCAGGCGGGAUCAUAAGUGAAUUAGCAUUGCCCAUGUUUUCGCACUAUAGGCCGAUGGUUAUAAGUAGACAGGCUGCUAUAGCCUGUUAUGCCCGUGUUUCACACAAGUUAGCUCCACGAUCCCGCUCGGCUUUCCAAUUCUGCUAUCCCGGCACGGUGGGGUUCAGUACGAGAUCUGGCUUACCUUAUAUCAGGACCAAGUUACCGGAAACUGGUGGCUCAUGUAUGGGCAAGAUAAUGAGCCGGUUGGCUACUAACCCAAGUCCCUAUUCACCUCACUCGCAAGUGGAGACUCCGACAUAGCCUGGGGCGGCCAGGCUAGUAGCCCACCCACGGAGGCUAGCCCAGACAUGGGGUGGCCACUUUCCUGAUGAGGGGCUCGAGAAGGUAUAAUUCAAAAGUUAAUGGAAGAGGAAGACUUGGAAAUUGAGAGACUGCUCAAAUUUAUUAACAAACCUGCAAGAUUGAGUUUUCAGACAGACUAUGGUGCUAUGAUUGAUUGAGUCGAUAUAUACAAACAAGUAGCUUCCGAUCAUCCUCUACUUAAGAAUCACAAGAUUCAGAUGAAACCCGAAAAAAAUUACGGAAGAUGAGUGAGAGAAGACUCCAUUGUCUUCAUCCUCUGUGCCAAAGAUCAAGCGGGCACCGUGCUGAUUGUGAGAGCUACCAAGGAAGAUCUACUGCUCUCGUAGCAUUUAGCAUGCAAUGGACCAACGCAUUUGAGAAAUAAAUUUUUGUCCAAGAUGAAUGGCAUCAAUGCUACUGGCCUAAUGGUAUUUGGACAAGUAAAGAAAAACAUUUUCAUUCAAUCUUCAUAAGAAACUUAUUCUGGGUCUCCAUGUGUUAGUCCGCAAUGAUGACUACAAAGGCAGAAACUAUGCAGUGAAGGUUCGUAUUAAAAAUUGGAACCCAGUCGUCUCACCAGAUCAAUUGAGUCUCUCAAGCAUUUCGAUUCUGAAUGGGCUUGAUUUUCUACCGGACAACAUACAAGCAUGCUGGAUCAUAAGUGAAUCGGUUUCUAACUUUGCCCAUGCUUUCAUAUUAUAAAAGCCAUGGCGGAAAUAUAAUGAAUCUUGUGGCCUGCUGUUUCCAGUGCCCUUGCUUCCUCUGUCAUAUCGGCAUCUAUUCCCAACUUCUGCCAGACUGUACACAUACUGGACCGCUGAUGGUUAUGAGAAGACAGGCUGCUAUAAUAUAUUGUGCCCAGGUUUCGUAUAAGUUAGCUCCACGAUCCCGCUCGGCCUUGCAAUUCAGCUAUCCCAGUACUGCAGGAUUCAGUAUGAGACCUUGCUUACCAUAUAUCAGGACCAAGUUACGGGAAACUGGUGGCUACUUUACGGGCAAGAUAAUGAGCUGGUCGGGUAUUGGACCAAGUCCCUGUUCAACUCACUGAAGCGUGGAGCAUCCGACAUUGCCAUGGGGGAGCCAGGCGAGUAGCCUGCCUGCAGAGGUUAGCCCGGAAAUGGGGAGUGGCCGAGUGGCCACUUCCCAGAGGAUGGAUUCGAGAAGGCAGCUUAUAUAACCCACAUUCAAGCGGCUUACGGCCCGGGGAUGUUCCUUGACCCGGACGAGAAGUUUCUUUCCGUACUGCAGGAUGCUCCGGUCUGUUACAGAGCAACUUCAUUUCAGAAUGAGGAAAUUCAGACGUUAUAUGUUCUAUGGACGGAGGGCCCGGUAGUUGUAUUGGUUUUGCUGGAAUAUCAGAUGGGAAAGAUGACGUUGAAUGAUUGGAAGAUUCAAUCUAUCUAUGCUAUAUAAGACUGUCAUUUGAAUGCAACCCCUUUUUUUUGGAUAAGUGGCAAAUUUCAUUAUUCAUCAAGAAAAAGUGAAUUUCAUUCAACUCAGUCUUGUAGGGGCUAU